UACGGGGGGGGUAAGCGUUGUUCGGAUUUACUGGGCGUAAAGCGCGUGUAGGCGGGGGAUUAAGUUGGGUGUGAAAGCCCGGGGCUCAACCCCGGGAUGCCGCCCAAGACUGGUCUCCUUGAGGACGGAAGAGGGGAGUGGAAUUCCUGGUGUAGCGGUGAAAUGCGUAGAGAUCAGGAGGAACACCCGUGGCGAAGGCGGCUCCCUGGUCCGUUUCUGACGCUGAGACGCGAAAGCGCGGGGAGCGAACGGG
rnacentral:rRNA from 1 species